GUACACUCCUACGGGAGGCAGCAGUGGGGAAUUUUGGACAAUGGGCGAAAGCCUGAUCCAGCCAUGCCGCGUGCAGGAUGAAGGCCUUCGGGUUGUAAACUGCUUUUGUACGGAACGAAACGGCCUUUUCUAAUAAAGAGGGCUAAUGACGGUACCGUAAGAAUAAGCACCGGCUAACUACGUGCCAGCAGCCGCGGUAAUACGUAGGGUGCAAGCGUUAAUCGGAAUUACUGGGCGUAAAGCGUGCGCAGGCGGUUAUGUAAGACAGUUGUGAAAUCCCCGGGCUCAACCUGGGAACUGCAUCUGUGACUGCAUAGCUAGAGUACGGUAGAGGGGGAUGGAAUUCCGCGUGUAGCAGUGAAAUGCGUAGAUAUGCGGAGGAACACCGAUGGCGAAGGCAAUCCCCUGGACCUGUACUGACGCUCAUGCACGAAAGCGUGGGGAGCAAACAGGAUUAGAAACCCCAGUAGUCC
rnacentral:rRNA from 1 species